AACGUAGGACGCAAGCGUUAUCCGGAAUUACUGGGCGUAAAGCGCGUGUAGGUGGUUGCAUAAGUCACUGUUGAAAGCUCCCGGCUAAACUGGGAGAGGUGCGGUGAGACUGUGUGGCUGGAGUUUGGGAGAGGGAUGCGGAAUUCCGGGUGUAGUGGUGAAAUGCGUAGAGAUCCGGAGGAACACCAGAGGCGAAGGCGGCAUCCUGGCCUAAUACUGACACUGAGACGCGAAAGCAUGGGGAGCGAACGGGAUUAGAAACCCCCGUAGUCC
rnacentral:rRNA from 1 species